UCAAGUGAGUCAAAGGAGGAGAGCGCCGUUCCCCCUGCGUGUUUGCGACCGUCCCCAUUCACUCCCCAGGACGCGAACGGGCCGGCACGGCUGCUGCGGUGCCGUUCUUUUGGGGCUGCGCGCGUGUGUCCAGUAAGCCGAACACUCCACCUCUAUCCCCCGACCCCCCCCCACCCCCCGACCUCUCCGGUCAUCACCUCACUCUUCCUGUUCGUUCCCUUUUCUUUGCUGGAAAUUCACGCACAGACAAACACGCAACAAUGGACUCGUACACCGAUCUGCUGAAUCUCAACUUCAUGUACUCCCUGCGCACAGGGGACCUGUUGACGGACAUGAUGAUUGCGGCGCUGCUGCCGCUCGUGUCGAGUGCGAUUGUAUACCUCACACGUACAUGGUGGCCGCAGCUGGUGAAUCGCGCCCUCUCCUAUCUCUCCAAGGUUGACAGCGCGAGUGCUACCUUCAAGAUGCUAGAGAACGGCAGUGGGCUCUACUAUGGUCAUACCCUUCGUGUGGCGCUGUCGACGUAUGUGACGAAGGUGCUGAAGCCUCGCUUCGACAUAGCAGAGCUGAAGUACCUCUCGAUUCCCGGAAAGGAGCUUCAAGAUGCGGCGAACUACACCGAGGCCCUGCGAGACUACUGCUUCGUGAACGCCAGCCCGGCCAAGGAGCUUCCCAUGCGUCUCACGGAGCACCUCGAGUUGAGGCAGACCCUGACAAGAAACGACGACGACGGCGGACGGAACAAAGACGCAGGCCGUCACGGCAGGUGUGGGAGCUCACAAGCGCCCCAGGAGUCGCUAUUCACCAUCACGCAGUACAAGCAUAGCUUCCCCGCACUCAUGAAAUUUCUCCGCUUGGCGCACGAGAGCACGGCGGAGGGUUCUGAAAAGAGCGAGGCCGUCGCGCAACUGGAGCGCGACGCCAACGCCGACGGCGACGCUAUUCAGUCUCUCCUUGAACGCUCACUGGAACACUACCGCCUCGAGUAUAAAGAAAUCACGGCGCGCACGGAUCGCUACCUCUAUCAACCGCUGUUGACGCGGCGGAAGCUCAGGUUUGGUUCUGAUGGCGCAGAGAGGGGCCACAACGAGGGCGCGAUGGAGUGCAACCGCUAUCUUCUGCACGCCGGCAAGACGUUUCAGUCUCUCUUCUUCCCCGCGAAGCCGCGCCUUAUUCAGCUCAUCGACGACUUUGAGAAGAAGACCGGCAAGUACGCCAUCCCCGGGUACCCUCAAAAGCUAGUGCUGCUGCUCUACGGGCCUCCCGGCACCGGCAAAACGAGUCUUGCCAAGGCUGUUGCCGCCCACACUAAGCGGGACUUGUUUGCCAUCUCGCUCUCGCGCAUCCGCAGCGACGAGGAGCUGAUGAAGUGCAUGUUCAGCGGUCGCUUUAAGGUGAGCGAUAAAAGAGAUGGCGAUAAGGUGAACUACGACGACUGCAGCUGCGACUCGGAGUUGCUGGACCCGGCGAAGCUGGUGUACAUCCUCGAGGACGUGGACGCCACGACGGCGGUCGUCCUCAAGGAUGAGUCAGAGGAGGUAGAAACGGGAGGCGAAGCACAGAAGCAGCGGGAGAGACGCGAGGAGGAGGCCUCGACAGCUGCACCGCCGUCAAGCGAUUCAACGAGCAGCGAUGGGGAGUCUGAGGAAGAGAACGAUAUGGCUGAGAACGAGAGUGGCGAAGGUGCCGUCGUUGAGAGCCACGACGCGGGCAGGGAUGCCACCGACGAAGUCUCGCCGGGGGUCUUGACGCAGCGCGAAGUGGUGAAGGUAAAGAGCAAGAGGCAAACGAUCGAUCGCGCCCUCACUAUCGAUGGGCUCACGAACGCGCUGAACGGUGUGCUGGACUUUCCCCAGCGCAUUGUCAUUAUGACCACAAACCACAUCGAAAGGCUGCACCCGUCGCUGCUGCGGCCUGGCGUAGUUACAAUGAAGCUGCACAUGCACAACUUUGACGCGGCGUGUGCGGUGGACAUGGUGAGGCACUACUUCUCUCACACAACGCUUCUCCCGGGACAGCUGGAGGAGCUGCGCUCGUUGCUGGAGGCGGCGUCGGCGAAAGCAUCAAAGGUGGACACCACUGCGUCCAUUUCGGAUGAGGUUGCUGAAAGCAGCGCUCUGGGAACGAAAGGCUUCAGCCCCGCGGAGCUGGAGCAGCACUGCGCCGAAUGUGACACGAUAGAGGAAUUGCUGGAGGUGCUUCGCCAGGGUAGCCGCGUGAACAUAUUCUGAAGCGGAGAAAGUAGGCAGCCGCAUCAUCGUCGCGGCGAUGAGGGUGGCAUGUCGGGUCAUGUGUUGUCUGGGUUUCUUGCGUUUUCCUUUCUCCCUAGGCCGUGUGACGCCUCUCGGUUCUUUGACCCUUGUCUCGCCGUUCUCGUGUGCGCCUCUCACCCACCCCCUCCCGACCCUCCUGCGCCACAUCGGCUGGGUAAUGAUAGCAGCAGGAGAGGUUGUGCGGCGAGGUGCGGCACCAUGAGGAAAAGGCGUGCGUGUCCGUGUGUUGAUGUCGCACGAGAGCGAUCAAAAGCUCUUUUGUGUGUUUUUUUUUUCGUUUGCCAGUUCUCAUUUGAUUCUUGUCUGCAUGCGUGUGUGUGUGUGUGUGUGUGUGUGUAUGUGUGUCUGCCCCAUCCCCUCCUCACCGCGCUCCCCCUCUCCUGUGCCUCCCCCUCCACCUUUCCAUACCCCCUCUUCCAGCAGCGCAAAGAAAAAGGAAGACCAGAGUAGCGCGCACCCGCACGCGCACAAACAC
rnacentral:misc_RNA from 1 species